GAAAGAAUAUCGGAGACGGAUGGGCAUGCGGCGCAUUAGCUAGUUGGCGGGGUAACGGCCCACCAAGGCGACGAUGCGUAGGGGUUCUGAGAGGAAGGUCCCCCACACUGGUACUGAGACACGGACCAGACUCCUACGGGAGGCAGCAGUGAGGAAUAUUGGUCAAUGGGCGAGAGCCUGAACCAGCCAAGUCGCGUGAGGGAGUACUGCCCUAUGGGUUGUAAACCUCUUUUGUCGGGGAGCAAAAGCCGGACGUGUCCGGCUGUGAGAGUACCCGAAGAAAAAGCAUCGGCUAACUCCGUGCCAGCAGCCGCGGUAAUACGGAGGAUGCGAGCGUUAUCCGGAUUUAUUGGGUUUAAAGGGUGCGCAGGCGGAUUUUUAAGUCAGCGGUCAAAUCGUGGGGCUCAACCCCAUCCAGCCGUUGAAACUGGGGAUCUAGAGUGUGCGAGAGGUAUGCGGAAUGCGUGGUGUAGCGGUGAAAUGCAUAGAUAUCACGCAGAACCCCGAUUGCGAAGGCAGCAUACCGGUGCACAACUGACGCUCAGGCACGAAAGCGUGGGUAUCGAACAGGAUUAGAUACCCUGGUAGUCCACGCAGUAAACGAUGAAUGCUACCUGUUUGGCCAGAUUGAAGGC
rnacentral:rRNA from 1 species